rnacentral:rRNA from 1 species
UGAGCAAUCUGCCCUUCUCUUCGGAAUAAGCGUUGGAAACGACGUCUAAUGCCGAAUACGACCUCCUUUCACAUGAUCGGUGGUGGAAAGCUCCGGCGGAGAAGGAUGAGCUCGCGGCCUAUCAGCUAGUUGGUGUGGGUAACGGCCCACCAAGGCGACGACGGGUAGCCGGCCUGAGAGGGUGACCGGCCACACUGGGACUGAGACACGGCCCAGACUCCUACGGGAGGCAGCAGG